rnacentral:rRNA from 1 species
UUGGAGGGCAAGUCUGGUGCCAGCAGCCGCGGUAAUUCCAGCUCCAAUAGCGUAUACUAAAGUUGUUGCAGUUAAAAAGCUCGUAGUUGAACUUCGGGGUUUACCCAUUGGUCAGGCUUAAUUGUCUGUACUGGUGAGAUAAAUCUCUACCUUCUGAGGAACUUUCAUGCCAUUUAGUUGGUGUGAUAGGAAAUCAGGACUGUUACUUUGAAAAAAUUAGAGUGUUUAAAGCAGGCUUAUGUCUGAAUACAUUAGCGUGGAAUAAUAGAAUAGGACGGUGGUCCUGUUUUGUUGGUUUCUGAAUCACCGUAAUGAUUAAUAGGGAUAGUCGGGGGCAUUAGUAUUCAAUUGUCAGAGGUGAAAUUCUUGGAUUUAUUGAAGACUAACUACUGCGAAAGCAUUUGCCAAGGAUGUUUUCAUUAAUCAAGAACGAAAGUUAGGGGAUCGAAGACGAUCAGAUACCGUCGUAGUCUUAACCAUAAACUAUGCCGACUAGGGAUCGGAUGAUGUUAAUUUUUUAAUGACUCAUUCGGCGCCUUACGGGAAAC